GUAAGUCAGUUGGUCACCGAGCCUCAGCUCGAGCGCAACGUUUUAUUGUCGUCUCUAAAAAAUGUUUUAAGUUCUUGAUUUUAUUUUUACCAUUUUUCUGGUAGUCUGUGACGUGUGACACGGACAAGAAUGAAAAGGAAUUUUGAAGGAGCAUUUAGUUGUAUAUUUCGCUUCUUCUUUUUUUUUUGCUGUUGCGACGUCAAUUCUUUUUGUUAUUCAACCGUUGUUUCUGCCUUUGCUUUUGGCGUUCCUAGAGAAGUGGCAGCCGGUCUCACGUCACGCCAUGUUUGAUUGGCUCACGGACAAGGUGCUGGACAUUCAAGCACCAGAAAAUAACCCCAAGAGGCUAAAUGGUUGUCCAAGGGCGGCCAACAACAUUUGGAGACUGAGUUGAUAGUCAAGUGGUAGUGUUGAGAGAAGAAUGGCCACUUUGUGGCAGCCAUUCGAGUUGUCUCCUGUCUUUCUCGACUCCACAACAUGGCCAUCAGUUGGAGAAUCCAGCUGGCCACUUCCUCGAUGAGAUGUUGGAGAAAACAGAAGUUGCCAAAGUUUAUUCCCAAGUCUGGAGGCCGUCUCCAGAGUGCUUGGUGUGGAUGUAAUGAGCAAGUUGCAUUUCAGCUUGCAGGACUGACUCAACUCUAUGAGCAAAUCUCUUCUCGUUUGGGUCUGUGCAAGUGCAAGCUGGCUCGCUUUACACUACUCCAAUUACUACUGACUGCCAACAUUUGGCAGAACACAGCAGCAGUUCACACCUAGACCUCCAGUCAGUUUACUGCUUCAUUGGCUUGGGGAACAUUGUGCCAAUGGACGUGGCUUCCCAUGUUCCCUCUGAUUGGAGCCGCCCAUCUCGACUCAUCCGCCAGGAUCCAACAAGCCCUCGACGAAAUCCCUAGGGUUUCGCUUUUUAAGACCACGGUGCCCUUUAAUCGGUGAUAAUUUGCUUACACAAUUGCUAGUUUUAAUUCACUUCUCUCCUUAUUAUUUUAGGAUAGAGACUAAAGCUUUUUACGAGGCUAAUCAAAUUUAAUGGGUCUCCUCCAAAGCUCCUUAUCCAUUAUCCUUACGCCAUUCUGGACUACUACCGACACCGAUUGGAUUUAAUCAGCAACACGACGUGCCUGGAUCGCCAAUAUCUGGUCAAUUGGUCAUGGAUCAACUCUCGGAGAACCUCGGCAUAAUUCUCAAAUCAAUGGCCGACGAAUCAUUGCUCUACGAAUUGUUUCGUUUUGUCGAUCUCAUCGAUCUCGCUACCUUCUCUUAUUAUUCGCCAACGGUUGACAACUAUGAAGACAUGUACUAUCAUCAGAGCCCCUGUGAGUACAGUAAAUAACACUGGGGUUCCCUGGCCCAACUUUUUCGAUUCUUACGAUUCGGGAGGGGUGCCCACACUCCGUCAACUACAACAAUCACCGUUCGUCCAUGAAUUGUACCAUCAACUUGUUCCAGUUCCUCCAGUUAUACUCGACGUCCUGCGACUAGCUUCAAGCCAAGGCCCACCAUAGGCCUCCAUCCACCAGGCCUCGAUCUCCUGGCUCAUAUUGGAAUCUUCCAAUUGUACCCACAGCAGUACUCAUCGGGAAUAUACUCCACUUCCGACAUCCGCCUCCUGUCGACUACCACGGUACCAUCCGGCCGAGUAGCAUUCGUCCAACUCCAAAAAUUCCAUCCACUGCGGCCCGUCCAUAUACUAGACGCCCUUCUCUUUCGAGCCAGACCAGCUACACACCGGAUUUCUGAAGGAAAUAUCGCCUUCCGGCGUCCCGACUUCAACUCCGGAUUCCGCCCUGUGUAUUUUCUCAACGUCUUGAAGACCACGAAAUCUGCGAUUGAUCUCCAUACACACCGCCGCUGCCUUUGUUCAGACAUUUUUGUUUAUUUUUUGACAACACUAAGGAAAUACGAACAUUGGUACAGAGAGAUGCCAAACUUCCGCUAAGAUAUCCAAGUCCCAAUGGGCUACCAUAGAACGCCGAUCUUUUUUUCGGUGUGAUUCGGUGAAGAGUAGCAGAGGAUGUGCUGACGGCAUGCACUCAAGGUGAAAUCUACUGCCACGAAAUUCUAGCUGGUCUCUUUCUUACAGCAUGGUAGAUAAGUCGUAAUCACGGCCACUCGCCAGCGCUUGAGGAAAUGAAACAAUCCCAGCCAUAGCCUUGCCUAACCGCGCCUACCUACCCACUGAUCAUCAUCAACCUCAACCACCCAACGCUAGAAGCUGUCCUGUACCAGAAAAUUAACAGACAUAUUAACCUUGCAAAAAAUAUGCUCAGGAUUCGGACAAAUUUGCGCAAAUUUGUCACUAAAGGCGACUAAAGACGCGUCUGGAUUCAAGUUCCCAUCUUUGGUGUGUUCAAGGUUCAGCAACUCGAAUUGGAUACAGCUCAAAGACAAAAGUUGGAAGAGAAAGUUUCUCAGAUAUGGGCCCAUAAGGAAAUGAACGAGGACACUAAAGCAGUUUACGUUUUUUUUUCAACCUCCCUGGAAUACGGUGCUGCAUACUGUAUCUCAGGACUUGCCUACGACGGAGCAUGAUGUUGUCAAGCGGCCUGACGGUGCAAUAGCGCAAAACUACAUUCGAGCACCGUCAGCCCGACGGUGCAAUAGAAUUUUCGACAUGAUGAGCUGGCGUUUACCUCCAACUACACGUGAUACGCCUACAGGUUGAGAAAGGUCCAGCAUUUGGUUUGCGUCGAGGAGGAAUUAUACGUCAGGAUGAAAUUUUCUAAUAAAUUGACGCUGACAAUUCCGACCUGCCCGGCGCCAUUCUGCAGAGACAGGCGUCAUCCGCCAGCAGUUUGCCUAUCAACUGCGGCGACAACAGCGAACCACACGAAUGGCCCGACAGCAAUACACGGUGGCCCCUUUCGUCAGCCCAUAGCCGGGCAAGAAAUCUCGCCACGUCCUGAAAGAAGGGUUGGAUUAUUUAAAUCUCAAACUGGGCGGAUUUGAUUAUUAAAUUUAAAUCACAGGCUGAAGUCAGCUGUGUAGAUGAUUUCCAAAUUAGGUCUUAAACGACAGUCAUAUUUUUUCAGAUGAUGCUAAUGUAAUCGACAUUCCAAUCGGCCCCUCCUCCUUUUACCCUCCGGUUUACACACAAUCAAAUGUAUUUUUCUUUUUUUUUUUUUUAAAUCUGAUUAUUAUUUUAGAGAGAAUUUGACUUGGGGCAGAGUUGACUGUGUACUUGUGCAGCCUUCCCCCCAUGACCCGUUAGAUGAUAAGAAAUGAAAACAAGAAAUUCUAUUGAUGAUUCCAUUGUUUCUGUACACACAUUUGACUCCUCCCACUAUUUGCUUUUGCAACCCCAUUCAACGACGCUAAGAACCGCGCCGUUGCUUUUUUUCUUUUCCGUGUUCCUUCUGUUUAAUUUCGUUUUUCCUUUCCCGUCAACAACGAAAAAACAUCUCCGUCCUUUUUGCGACGCCCCACAUUCCAUCACACACACACCAGAUUUUAAAAGAAAAGUUACUACAAAAAACAUAUUUUGACAGUGUGCGCGUAGUGAGUAUUUGUGUGCAUCAUGUAGCCCAUUCCAGCAGAAAAAAAGGAAACAAAAAG